ensembl:lncRNA
GUUUAAUUGUUGUUUAUUAGACAAAAACAAGACGCCGUCUGAGAAGCUUCUGGUGGCUUUUCAUGCAUCCGGUAUUAAAAGGUUAAAGUGUAAAAGUCGCAGGAGGUAAAGUCGGUUUCCUGAAGAAGCACAAACGCCGUUUAGCUUUUUGGACGAGGACACAAAUAAAACCAUUAUUUAUCAUCAAUAAUUCUGCUCCUUGUUUGAAUAAAGAAAUCUGUAACAUCCUUCUAUGUUUUUAUUUUAUGUUGUUGGGGUUAAAAGAAAAAAUCCACCUGAAAAAACAUCUUCCACCAGAUCAGAAAAAAAAAGUAUUUGAAAUAUAUUUCAAAUAACGAUUAACGGUAUUUUGUUGAUUUAAAGGGUCGUUGAGACUGAAGAAGAUAUUCGGCCUGUUAGCGUUAGCGACACUAAGCUCGUUGCUAUAAUAAUGUUUCAGUAUUUAUUAUAUAUUGUCAGCUGCAUUUUUAAAAGCUAAUCCAACUACUUAAAAUAAAAGCUCUCUCUCGUGCUUUUACGGUGGAUUUUCCCUUUAAUGUGUUUGCGUGUUUGGAGGUAAACACUCACAAAGCGAAUCCAUGUCUCUGAAACCAAACAGCUGCUCACAUGGAAACCAUCAAAACAACUCAAAAGCAGAAGAAAGAAAUGGAUCCAGUCCCCACUUCAUUUAGAUAAAAAACAAAGAGAGAAAUACAAAAAGUCAAAACACGGAUUGUGGAAUUCAAUCCAGCGCUGAUUUCUUUAAUUCAUAUCAAGUACUUAUAAACAGAAUGGCACUAAUUUCAGUCUAUUCACAGAUAAAACAUCUUUAUUAUUUUGUAUGUUCUCGUUGUUUUGAGACGUCCACUUUAGAAAACGGUCCUUUCUGCAAAAAGUUAUUCGUUAUUAUUGAGAAAACCGUGCGAGGUCUCACCUCUACUUUAAAAACUCUCUUUUUUGAGUAAGAAAAAAUGACACAAAAUCCCCGUCGUUCUCGCCAAAAUAAAAGUCGUCCGUGUGGGCUGGAACUCACUGCGUCGUGUGAUUGGUCCCUAAAGUCCUCCAGCAGGAAGAAACCACCUCCUGAGUCCCAUCAUCAUC